UUUCAGAUUUUUGGGCAGGAAAUUUAAUUCCACUCCGUGGUCGACUCAAAGUGUCAUAUUUCACAGUUAACCCGUUUCAGAGUUCACCGAAAGAUGGCGGAUGAAUUUUUGGCAUAAUGAACGCGGUGGUCUUCGAUGAAUGACGUCAAGUGUGAGUUUCUGCGUUCUGCAGUAAGGCUACUUUGGCGUCCCUGGCGAAUGACGCAAGACGUUUGGAUGAGAUGGAUGGAACUCCUCUACCAUUUGCUUCUUGGACACGGGGAAAUGUUCCAUCGUGACUGCGCGCAGGAAUGAAAAUCCUCGACGCACCCCGAGGUUCCGUUCUUUGUGCUGGAGGGACUCGUGAGGUAUUGAGUUCCCCGUAUCCAUCAUUUUGGACGAGUCGGGACCUCGGAGGAGCGCCAACGGCGAUGUCUCCGCUAGCCAGCCGUAACUGACUUUGGAGUGCAUUGUUUCCAGCGGGAAGCUCAGCGCCGUGGCCUAAAGGUACAUUCCAGAGAUCAGAAACACAAACAGUCUUUGUGCCCCCGCCGCUCUCUUCGCCCGACUCCCUCAUCCACAUCAAGCCUCCGCAGCCAAACGGCCUCCUCCGGCUCGUGUGUCAACAUGUGGGCUAUCGUUUUACUCGCAUCCCAGAUACACACACACACCACACACACACACACGCACGCGUACGCACCGCACACACUCGUUUGUCAUUCGGAUGGUGACAAUGUCGGCCUCUUUGAGAGGGACUGUGAAAUCAAGGCAUUUUCUUGAACAAAUAGUAUUCCAGUUUUGUUGACCUUUCGUCAGUGGAAAGGAAGGGUACAUGUCACAGAUAUUGGGCAGAACAAAAUUCCACUUCAUAUAAAAAAAAAAAAUCUCUAAUCAAUAAAAUAACCUCUUUUUUGCUCCUUUUAAUGUUUACAACAAUAAAGAUGUCAAUUACAGGCAUAAUAUUUGGGAGCACGCUUCGUCCAAUGUUUCUUUGGUGGGGAAAUGUUUGUUUAUGUUGUAAUG